GGCUAAGUGACUAAAAGAUGCGAAUCAAAGUAACAUCAUCACCAACCUUAUAACAUUCUUACUCAACGCAAUCCUCCACCUCUCAUAAAACCAAAUUUUUCAAUACAAAAACCAUCACAACUCAUCAAUUAUUUCUCAUAACAUUAUGUCUCUCUAAUGCAUCCUAUGUACCCAUUUUUUCAAUUUUUUUUUUCUUUUUUUCUUUUCAACAACUUGUAGGGUACUAGGAUUUUCAAUUUUAAACCACAAAACAUAACUCAUGAUCAUUCAUCUCCACAACCCAAUUAUCUCCCAUCAAAUAGUCUCCAAGCUUCCACCCAUAGCUAAAUCAAAGAAUAUGGAAAAAUAAGGCUCAAAGGGGGUGAACUAGGAUCAUAUAAAGAUAUAGGACAAAUAAGGGAUAAAUAGGCUAGCAAAGAUGGCCUUCUAUCAUCUCAAAGUUAUUAAGCACA
rnacentral:lncRNA from 1 species